CAUCUCAAACGACAUGUACAUCAUCUAUUUCUGUAUUCUCAGCUUUAACAACUUCUGUAAAUGCGUAGACUCCCAACUUUUCCCCUGCAGUUUCAUGUGGUCAUGGAAUAAGGAAUGGAUAAAGCAAAAGCAGGUAAUUGUACUAAAAGUGGUUUUCUGGUAUUUUUUCAGGUAUUCGAAGUCGAUUUAUAAUUGUUUUUCCCAUAUGUUCAGGUAUAUUUUCAAGUGCACAUUUCUGGUCGGAUUUACCAGCCACUCUGAGCCAGCUCUUGUCUUCAAUCAGUCCGAAGCAACUCUAACCGUCUCCCUCUUUUGCACCAAAAAAGGAG
rnacentral:lncRNA from 1 species